GAAGAUGUUGUUCUUGAAUUCAAUAAAUUUCAUGAUGAGUUGGAGCUUGAGCUAACAUCUUCUCAAUAUCAGAAGCUAUUGUGAAUUUGCCUCUUGGUCAUAUGGUUGUCAAAAGCAUAAUUUAAGAAGAAUCUCACCAUAGACUUAAAGAUAAAAGAGAAAUAGAGAAGGUGAAUGAUCUCGAGUUCUCAUGUGUGCUCCGUAGAGAUAUAACCGAUGGAAUUUACAAGUUGAAAAUUGAAAUUUAUCUUGAACUUGGAGUUCUAAGAUGUCAGAGACAAGCCUAAGGCUUUGAAGAUAGUCUCUACAGUUCCAGAAGCAGAAGACAACACUGAGAGAAGUGUAUAAGAACAAGUACUUGCCCCUUGACCUCCAUCACAAGAUCAGGACACCAUUCGUAGAUGUUUACCAAACAUCAGGCAUCUUUGAAGACACAAAGGGAGAAGAAGAAAGAGAUGUACUUUCCAAUUAGAAACUAUACCAUUAAGGUUUAAAAUUAAAAUUGAUCCAACUUAUAAUUUGUGAUGUUAGCACUUGCAGAGGAAAGCUGAGGAUCAUAUUUUGUCAUUCUGCAA